UCCGUAAGCCUGUGAAGGUGAACCGUAAGGUUUGCUGGAGGUAUCGGAAGCGAGAAUGCUGACAUGAGUAGCGAUAAAGGGAGUGAGAACCUCCCUCGCCGAAAGCCCAAGGGUUCCUGCGCAAGGCCAAUCCGCGCAGGGUGAGUCGGCCCCUAAGACGAGGCAGAAAUGCGUAGUCGAUGGGAAACAGGUUAAUAUUCCUGUACCCGUGAGAAGUGACGGCCUCUGGAAGUAGUUUUUCCUUAUUGGAUUGGAGAAGCUGCCAAGGAGGUCCAGGAAAUAACUCUCACAUAUGGACCGUACCCCAAACCGACACAGGUGGGCAGGUUGAAUAUACCAAGGCGCUUGAGAGAAUGGUGUUGAAGGAACUCGGCAAAUUGCCCCCGUAACUUCGGGAGAAG
rnacentral:rRNA from 13 species